rnacentral:rRNA from 1 species
CCUACGAUGAGCAGCAGUGGGGAAUAUUGCACAAUGGGGGAAACCCUGAUGCAGCGACGCCGCGUGAGUGAAGAAGUAAUUCGUUAUGUAAAGCUCUAUCAGCAGGGAAGAAAAUGACGGUACCUAAGUAGGAAUCCCCGGCUAACUACGUGCCAGCAGCCGCGGUACUACGUCGGGGGCAAGCGUUAUCCGGAUUUACUGGGUGGAAAGGGAGCGUAGACGGCAUUGCAAGUCUGGAGUGAAAGGCGGGGGCUCAAACCCCGGACUGCUCUGGAAACUGUACGGCUGGAGUGCAGGAGAGGUAAGUGGAAUUCCUAGUGUAGCGGUGAAAUGCGUAGAUAUUAGGAGGAACACCAGUGGCGAAGGCGGCUUACUGGACUGUAACUGACGUUGAGGCUCGAAAGCGUGGGGAGCAAACAGGAUUAGAUACCCUAGUAGUC